AACUAUUAUUCACUGCCCCUGGUUGUUUAGAGUGCCUCAGUGGUGUUAUCAUGUUUGAGGAAACACUAUACCAAAAAACUGUUGCAGGAGAACUCUUUACUGAUGUGUUGAAGAAAGCUGGAGUUCUUCCUGGUAUCAAGCUAUUUUCAGAUGAGCUUUUCAAGUUUGGUUAGAGCAAUAAUUUGAGAAUGGAGAUAUGGAUUCUUGAGUAAGAGACAGGAGAUAUGCAUUUCAAAAGCUAUUUUCAGAUGAGUUUUUCAAGUUUAUGGCUUUAGCAAGUUUAUUUUAGCAGUCUCACUAACCAGUUAAAUCCAGGUAUUAAUCUCAUCCUACAACUUCUAAAUGAAAAUCAUGCUUCAGAAAAUGCAAUGCCAGAUGUAAUUGAAGCUUCCCCUAUUGAUUCAACUUUUAUUGAGGAUGAAAAAGUAGAAAAUGAUGAUAGUAGUAGAGGAAAUAAUGCUUGCAGCUCGGAACUUUUAAGCCACGCAGCUGGUGUUGGACCUGAUGACAACUUAGUGACAUCAUUUCCAGUUCUCAGGGAUUGUAUUUCAUAUGAAAAUGUUUAAGAACAUUCAGAUAUUGCAAGGAGUGUCUCAAAUACAGAAACGUCACUACCAGAGUCAUCAUGUCAUGAGAAUCUUGAUGUGCAGAGUUAUGACGCUAAUGAAUUGAAUGCUUCGGCGAUUGCCAACUGUUCUACAAUCACAGAAUCAGAAAUUGAAAGGGAGGAAACUGAUCUGGAAUCAAAACGUGCCAUCGAUGACUUACAGGACACUCUGCUCGAACUCAGUAGAUACAAAUAACAGAUCAAGAAAACAAGAUAAUCAAGACAGCAACCAGUGGAGGCAUGGCAUAAUGGAGCUCUUUGUGGUCAACUGUAUCAUUUUUUCUUUCUUAGUCCUAUAGAAAUAGAAUUCAACAUAUGGAUCAUAGAAUUCAACAUAAGGAGGUGGGUUAUUUUCUGCAGUCUAAGUUGAAAAAGCUAUUUUUGUGUAUUUGUUUGUAGGACUUGCAGUUCUGUGGAUGCACUGAUUUUCUUAUCUAAAUAUUUCACUGUCAGUUUAUUCUUGAAUUGGCUUAUUGCUCUGUUUAUCUAAAUUGAAGGGUCACUUUAAGUACAUUACCGGUAUAGCUUUUUCGCUUCGAUUGAGCAUAAUGGUUUCUUCGAGCGCUGAUUCUAAGGUUUAAUGAUGAAGCACAAGUUUGCUUGGCCAUAAAAAAAAAAGGAUGGCAAUGAGAGAGUUGAAGUGUGAACUAACUGAAGUAGUUGAAGUCAUAAUUUGGGAUGAUUUUUCUUGGUUGGAAUGGAUUUGGGUAUCUCCUCUUGAAUUGUAAGGUUUUGAAAGAAGACAUGAUUCCGCUUAUAAAAAUAUUUUGAUUGUAUCGUUUCUGCAUAUGAUAUCGCGAAGCUGUUUCCGAACCUGUUUGGUCAACCUUCGGCGAUGACAUUUGACAGAUUUGGCACUUGGUUGUUUGAAGAAUUUCUUUCACAUGCCUGAAAUUUGGAUUAUUAUGAAAGUCCAUUACAAUAUCACAUUACUUUUAGCUUUCAAAGCAACCAAAACAAGAAGGGUUUCUUAUCUAUAAACUUGAAAUGCAUCUAUAUUAAUGUCUCUUUCAAAAAUAACCGCAGAUUAUGCAGCUGACAAGGCUUCGUCGACCAUGAAGAUAAUAGUACAUAAAAACUUAGGGGAGCAAAUUGGUAAUGGGCAUGAUGUCUGGCCGGUUGCUAUUCACGGGCAUUAUGCUUAUGCAGGUGACUCUGCUGCUCUUCUUUCUGGUGCUUUGAAUGUACCGAUGAUUUUUACCGGCCACUCACUUGGUACCUAUGAUUUCUAGCAAUGCCUUAACAGACUUUUUGUUAUGGACCAAAUUAGUUAGUCUUUAUUUUGAACUAAAAGUAAUUUACAGCAAGCUAGAGGUAAAAUAUCAUUUUGAUAUUGAUAUACAUUAGCAAUUUGUAUUGACAUAUAAUAAGUUCAUUUUUCUC